rnacentral:misc_RNA from 1 species
GGGUUAGUCGCCCAUUUUUGACUUCUAUGAUGGCUCCUGCGGUUGCCAAGAAUGGUCUUCCCAAGAUGAUAGGAAUUUAAACAUCUUCUUCCAUUUCAAGGAUAAUAAAGUCCACUGGAAUGAAGAAUUUGCCCACUUUGAUAGGAAUGUUCUCAAGUAUGCCUACAGGAUAUUUAAUAGAUCGAUCAGCCAAUUGCAAUAAGAUUGUUGUGGGCUUCAGUUCUC